rnacentral:lncRNA from 1 species
AAAGAAAAGAAAAGGCUGAAAGAAAUGUGCUCUAUAUAACAAAUGACCCUCUGCACAUUUUCAGCAUUCAUAUCCAUCUCUGAAAAUUCACAUCACUUGUUCAUAUGCAUACACUCUUACCCACAACUCUCUCACACACACACAAAAGAGCUCACUCACAGUCAAAAACAACUAAAAACCAUUUCUUGAAUUCAAAUUUGAGAUCUCAGAUCUAAAGUUCAAAAAUUCAAAACACAAACAAAGAAAAACAAAAGAAAAAAUAAGAUUCAGGAGGAUUUCGAAAGUGAAUUUAAUGUUGUUGAUUUAAUCCACUUUUUCUGGGUUCUAGAAGAUUAAUUACUCUGGAAAUGUUGUUUUGGCUGCUGACUCUGUUGCUGGUUCUCUGAUUUCGAGCGCUAAACUUCAUCCCUCAACUUUCUGAUCUAUAUUUGUUCUAUCCUCAUUGUUUUAGUGCUACUAGGUAUGAUCAAAACCUUCUGUAAUACUCCAUUGAUUUUCAUGAAUGGGGAUCCGAGUUGUUCAGAUCCAUAUGUAUAAUUAGUUUCAUAGAUGCACCAUUAGAUUUGCCUAUAGUUUCUUCUAUGUUAGCUUAUUGUUUUGAUUGUUUUUUAUUAAAUGCUUAAACUAAAAUCAUUCGCUAAUCAAGCCUAGCAACUGCUCAAUGCUUUGUGAUGAUUAGCUUCUCGUGAAUUCAUCAAUAGAACUGCCUAUAAUCGCUUCUUUGUUAGCCAUCGAUUCUGAUUGUUUAAGCUGAAGCAGGUCAUUAAUUAGUAUAUCCUAAUUGCAGAUUGCUGAAGCAUGAUGAUUCUGGAAGCAGUAAUGAAUAGUUAAUUUUAGAAUUCGGACUAGUUUAACUCAUUGUAACAUUGUUUCACAUAGCAUAGGUCAUUAAAGUCGCUUUUAUUAUAAAUUCAACUUAGAAUCCCUGAUGUAAUAAAUUGUUGCUGUAAUUUUGAACUCAGAUAGCCAUAUGCUUGAUAUUUAAAAUAUUUUUUUUUUUUACUCUUGUGAUGACAUAUGAAAAUUGUACAGAACUAGCUAUUGGACAUUUGGGCCUCCAUUUCCGAAAAUGUUGGGGCCAACGAGGUUGUACCAUUAGUUUGAUAUCUCAAAAAAAAACUAUGUAUCUCGUUUGUAUAUGGGUUCAAUUCCAGGCCCAUUUGGAUGCUUGUCAUGCCGCCUAAGUUGAAAAGCCGCUCCGGAAAGGCCAAACGCUAUGGGCCUCGCUCCAGGCCCAAGCGCUUGCAUUCGACCUCAUUGGAGGUCUCAACUUGGGCCUGGGGUCACAUGUAAACCGGGAGAAAUUUAAAAAUAG